GAUGAACGCUGGCGGCGUGCCUAAUACAUGCAAGUCGAGCGAACAGACGAGGAGCUUGCUCCUCUGACGUUAGCGGCGGACGGGUGAGUAACACGUGGAUAACCUACCUAUAAGACUGGGAUAACUUCGGGAAACCGGAGCUAAUACCGGAUAACAUGUUGAACCGCAUGGUUCAACAGUGAAAGACGGUCUUGCUGUCACUUAUAGAUGGAUCCGCGCCGCAUUAGCUAGUUGGUAAGGUAACGGCUUACCAAGGCAACGAUGCGUAGCCGACCUGAGAGGGUGAUCGGCCACACUGGAACUUAGACACGGUCCAGACUCCUACGGGAGGCAGCAGUAGGGAAUCUUCCGCAGUGGGCGAAAGCCUGACGGAGCAACGCCGCGUGAGUGAAGAAGGUCUUCGGAUCGUAAAACUCUGUUAUUAGUGAAGAACAAAUGUGUAAGUAACUAUGCACGUCUUGACGGUACCUAAUCAGAAAGCCACGGCUAACUACGUG
rnacentral:rRNA from 1 species